GUGGGGGAUAACCUGAGGAAACUCAGGCUAAUACCGCAUACGUCCUACGGGAGAAAGCAGGGGCUCUUCGGACCUUGCGCUAUCGGAUGAGCUUAUGUCRGAUUAKCUGGUUGGUGAGGUAACGGCUCACCARGGCGACKAUCCGUAKCUGGUCUGAGAGGAUGAUCASCCACAUCGGGACUGAGACACGGCCCGAACUCCUACGGGAGGCAGCAGUGGGGAAUAUUGGACARUGGGGGCAACCCUGAUCCAGCCRUGCCGCGUGUGUGAAGAAGGCCCUCGGGUUGUAAAGCACUUUCAGUGAGGAAGAAGGCUUGUCGGUUAAUACCCGGCAAGAAAGACAUCACUCACAGAAGAAGCACCGGCUAACUCCGUGCCAGCAGCCGCGGUAAUACGGAGGGUGCGAGCGUUAAUCGGAAUUACUGGGCGUAAAGCGUGCGUAGGCGGCUUGAUAAGCCGGUUGUGAAAGCCCCGGGCUCAACCUGGGAACGGCAUCCGGAACUGUCAGGCUAGAGUGCAGGAGAGGAAGGUAGAAUUCCCGGUGUAGCGGUGAAAUGCGUAGAGAUCGGGAGGAAUACCAGUGGCGAAGGCGGCCUUCUGGACUGACACUGACGCUGAGGUACGAAAGCGUGGGUAGCAAACAGGAUUAGAUACCCUGGUAGUCCACGCCGUAAACGAUGUCGACUAGCCGUUGGGGUCCUCGAGACCUUUGUGGCGCAGUUAACGCACUAAGUCGACCGCCUGGGGAGUACGGCCGCAAGGUUAAAACUCAAAUGAAUUGACGGGGGCCCGCACAAGCGGUGGAGCAUGUGGUUUAAUUCGAUGCAACGCGAAGAACCUUACCUACCCUUGACAUCGUGCGAACUUUCCAGAGAUGSAUUGGUGCCUUCGGGAGCGCACAGACAGGUGCUGCAUGGCUGUCGUCAGCUCGUGUUGUGAAAUGUUGGGUUAAGUCCCGUAACGAGCGCAACCCUUGUCCCUAUUUGCCAGCGAUUCGGUCGGGAACUCUAGGGAGACUGCCGGUGACAAACCGGAGGAAGGUGGGGACGACGUCAAGUCAUCAUGGCCCUUACGGGUAGGGCUACACACGUGCUACAAUGGCCGGUACAAUGGGUUGCAAAGCGGCGACGUGGAGCUAAUCCCAUAAAGCCGGUCUCAGUCCGGAUCGGAGUCUGCAACUCGACUCCGUGAAGUCGGAAUCGCUAGUAAUCGUGCAUCAGAAUGGCACGGUGAAUACGUUCCCGGGCCUUGUACACACCGCCCGUCACACCAUGGGAGUGGACUGCACCAGAAGUGGUUAGCCUAACUU
rnacentral:rRNA from 1 species